rnacentral:rRNA from 1 species
UCAAGUUAUUAAGGGUGCAGGGCGAAUGCCUUGGCACUAGGAGCCGAUGAAGGACGUGAUAAGCUGCGAUAAGCUUCGGGGAGUUGCACGUAAACUUUGAUCCGAAGAUUUCCGAAUGAGGAAACUCACUUAGAGUAAUGUCUAAGUAUCGUAUGAUGAAUACAUAGUCAUGCGAGGGGAACCCGGAGAACUGAAACAUCUAAGUACCCGGAGGAAGAGAAAGAAAUUCGAUUCCGUAAGUAGCGGCGAGCGAACGCGGAACAGGCCAAACCAGUGAAGUUUUCUUCGCUGGGGUUGCGGACAUAUCAUAACGAAGAGGUAUCGUAGAAGAAGAGAGUUGGAAAGCUCCGCCAUAGAUGGUAACAGCCCAGUAUUUUAAACGAGAAGACUUUAGAUAUGAUCCAGAGUACCACGGGACACGUGAAACCCUGUGGGAAGCAGGAGGGACCAUCCUCCAAGCCUAAAUACUACCUAGUGACCGAUAGCGUAUAGUACCGUGAGGGAAAGGUGAAAAGAACCCCGGGAGGGGAGUGAAAGAGAACCUGAAACCCUGCACUUACAAGCUGUAGGAGCACAUUAUUUGUGUGACUGCGUACUUUUUGUAGAACGGGCCAACGAGUUACGUUGUGUAGCAAGGUUAAGCACUUAAGGUGUGGAGCCGUAGCGAAAGCGAGUCUUAAAUGGGCGUCCAGUUACCCGACGUAGACCCGAAACCAGGCGACCUAUCCAUGAGCAGGUUGAAGCGAAAGUAAAAUUUCGUGGAGGACCGAACCCACGUACGUUGAAAAGUGCGGGGAUGACUUGUGGAUAGCGGUGAAAUUCCAAUCGAGCCUGGAGAUAGCUGGUUCUCCCCGAAAUAGCUUUAGGGCUAGCCUCAAGCUUAGAGAAACGGAGGUAGAGCACUGAAUGUCCUAGGGGGUAUUGCACUUACCGAAGACUAUCAAACUCCGAAUGCCGUAUUCUUUUGCUUGGGAGUCAGACUAUGGGUGAUAAGAUUCAUAGUCAAGAGGGCAACAGCCCAGAUCGUCAGCUAAGGUCCCUAAAUGUAAGUUAAGUGGUAAAGGAUGUGGAAUUGCACAGACAACCAGGAUGUUGGCUUAGAAGCAGCCACUCAUUUAAAGAGUGCGUAAUAGCUCACUGGUCGAGUGAUUCUGCGCCGAAAAUUUCCGGGGCUAAAACUUACUACCGAAGCUACGGCAUCAUUAUGAUGGGUAGGGGAGCUUUCUAUGUGGCUUGAAGCAUGACCGUAAGGACAUGUGGACUGCAUAGAAGUGAGAAUGUUGGCAUGAGUAGCGAGAUGUGGGUGAGAAUCCCACAGGCCGUAAACCCAAGGUUUCCAGGGGAAGGUUCGUCCGCCCUGGGUUAGUCAGGACCUAAGCCGAGGCCGAAAGGCGUAGGUGAUGGACAACAGGUUGAUAUUCCUGUACCACCAAUAACCGUUUGAGAAAUGGGAUGACACAGUAGGAUAAGCUAACCGCACUGUUGGUUAUGUGCGGGCAAGUAUUGAGGCAGUUCCGAUAGGCAAAUCCGUCGGAAUAAUGCUGGGGUACGAUGCGGAGCGAAAUUAAGUAGCGAAGUAGCUGAUUUCACACUGUCGAGAAAAGUCUCUAUCGAGGUUAAAGGUGCCUGUACCGCAAACCGACACAGGUGGGUGAGGAGAGUAUCCUAAGGCCAGCGAGAGAACUGUUGUUAAGGAACUCGGCAAAAUGACCCCGUAACUUAGGGAGAAGGGGUGCCUUCGAAAGAAGGCCGCAGAGAAUAGGCCCAAGCGACUGUUUACCAAAAACAUAGGUUUCUGCUAAGUCGCAAGACGAUGUAUAGGAGCUGACGCCUGCCCGGUGCUGGAAGGUUAAGGGGAUCUGUUAGAGCAAUCGAAGCAGUGAACUUAAGCCCCAGUAAACGGCGGCCGUAACUAUAACGGUCCUAAGGUAGCGAAAUUCCUUGUCGGGUAAGUUCCGACCC